CUUACUUAAUUUUAUUGUCUCUGUUUUGUACAAGUGACUUGAGAACAUCCAGGGCACGACUUCUUGAAUUAUUCACUGAUUUGAGCUGUAAUCCAGAAAUGAUGAAGAAUGCAGCAGAUUCAUACUUUUCACUCUUACAAGGUCAGUUACUUGUAUGAACUUCUCAGCUAAAAAAUAAAAAAUUAUGCAGAAGUUAAUAUUUAACUCUUAUACACUUUUCAAAUUUGGACAGUUUAAUUUCCAGGCCAUACUUGUAUGCUUGAAUUUCAAAAAUGUGAGAGUGUAAUGGUAGUGUGUGGUUUAACAUUUUGAGAAUUAAAUAUGUACAUAUUUUAUAUUACAUUAUCUCAGAAAAAGGUGUGGGAUGUGGGAAGAGAGAAGGGGGCCAAAAAAAUUCAUUCAGGCACCUGGAAAAGUAAUUAUCUGAAAAUAUGUCCAAAUAGAACACAUGAUAUUUAUUCUAAAUCUAAAAUGUCUUGUAUCUUUUUGUAGGUUUCAUAAAUUCACUGGAUGAAUCUACCCAGGAAAGCAAGUUGCGAUAUAUUCAAAAUUUCAAGUGGACUGAUACGUUGCAAGGACAUGUUCCAAGGUAAGCAAUGUUAAUGUACUAAAUGGAAGCCAGUUUUUGUAACUAUAUAGCCAGCCAUUAACUCAUAGAUUCUGUAUUUGAAGAAUAAAAAUAAGGUCUGAUCAGCAUUUUCUCUUGUCAGGAAAUUAAUUAGAAGCAUUGGAUUCUAAUUCAAAUAUAUAAUAUUAAGUAAAAUUAUUAGUUGUUUCUCCCAGAGCAUGUCUAUUUUUUAUAAACUCAAUACAAACACUAAUAAAAAUUGAACAGUCUUAUUUUAAUAAGACACAAAGAAUGUUUUAGAAAUUUGAAACCUAAACUGACUUUCAGUCUUUGCCUAUCUUCAAGCCAAACAGAAUUUUGGUUUUCCCCUACUUUCUUUUUCUAAGGGAUAGUUCAGAAUACUUUGGUCAGUCUGUAUCUGUCUUCUUAACUCCAUAGUCUUUUGAUUCUAGAUAUUUGGUUUUUUAUUUCUUUUUACUGUUUCUACUCUGUUUACAAACUUUCCUUCAGAGCUUUUUCAUCACUCACUUGAAACUAUCUAAGAUGAAAUUAUAGCAGGAAAUAUGUCAUAGUAUUAACUUUAUUCAAUUACUUUUUUUGUUUUUAAACAUCUUUGAAUUAUUAAAAAUACCUGUAUAUUUUCAUCUCAAUUUGCUGUAGAAUUACUGUUUUGUAAGAAAGAAAGGGCUGGGCAAUUGCUGGAAGAACAGGGCAAAUAGUGCAUUAUAUAGAAAGAGAAUGGAGGUUGAAUUUACACAUAGCAUCUAGGUAUGUAGCACAGCAUCAUACCUAGAUGCUAUUCCACGUUUUCUGCAAAGGAAACAUCUGCUUCUUCAACUAGAUUUUGGUGUUAUAAGACUUUGUGAGGAACAAAUAAGAAAACUUAGGUUACGUGAAUAAUAUUAUAAUGCCAGGCAUUUAAGAAGACAUUCACUAAAUGUUAAUUCAUUUUUUUCCUUGGGAAUAUCUCGUGUAGAAUUUAUAAUUGGAUAGGAAGUAGGGAAGAUGGAUCCUUUCUAAAUAGUUUCAAGUUAAUAUUCAAACCUUUAUUAUUACUAUAGACUUUGGCAGAUUCUAAAAUGUUUUGCAUUGUGUAAAUUUGGCCUACCUACCAAAUUUUUAUUCCAUGUUACAGCAAGCUACUAUUUAUUGUGGGUUUUUUUUAGCAUUUUAUGAGAGAGUGAAAAAUUAUGUGAUGAAAACCUUAAGUAACACUGAAAACUUAGUACAUAUGAGAUUUCUAAUUUACUUUAUGCUUUAUUUCUACUUAUUCAGCUGAGAUUAUGCUGUGAAUCUUAUCUGCUCGGAAAAAUUAUUUCUUGGAUUAUAAAUGCUCUGACUGCUACUUAGAUGUGGUGUCACAGAAAUGGAUUGUUUUGGAACAAGGUGGAUUGAAAAAAAUGAGUAUAAAAAGAAAAGAGUUAUUCAUUAGGCUUCAUGUAAAUUAAGAAAACUGUCAUGUGAUUUAAAAGUAAAAUUAUAAAUUAGAAAUACACAGUAGAUCACAGGGUGUAAUUCAUUUGAAAUUUCUCAAGUUUCAAAAAGAAUAAGCUAUUUAACUGUGAAUAACUUUUUUUUAAGAUGGUAAAACUGUUUUGUGAGGUUUGUUUAUAAACUUUUUCAUGUAAUGUACAUGAAAAUUACAUUAAUUUAUGAAUAUAAUUUGUAAAUUAUAUUUAAAAUUAUUUAUAAAUUAACUAUCUAUAACUUAUUUUAAUUACAAUGUUUUCUAGCUUUCUGUGUGUGUAUGUGGUGCUGGUGCUAGGGAUUAAACCCAAGGCCUUACACAUACUAGGCAAGGGCUCACACCUCAUAAAUUUUGUUUGUUUUGUUUUUGUGGUACUGGGAACCCCAAGGCCUUGCACAUGAUAGGCAAGCUCUCUACACUGAGCUACAUCCUCAGCUCUUUAAUUUUUAUUUUGAGAACAGGUCUUGCUAAUUUGCCAAGCUGGUCUCAAAUUUGUAAUCCUUUUUCCUGGGAUUACAGGUGUGUGCCAGUUUGCCUGGCCAAAAUCAAUAAAUAAAAUACAAAGUAGAGACAUCCUUCAAAGCUUUUCCCUUUUGGUAACUUUUCAGUAUCUAUCUUAUUUUGCAUAAGGAUGUUAUUUCUGCUUUCUUAUUUCAUCAGUUGAAAUGAAUACGAUAGUGUGUAAAGAAUUUGCAGGUUCUUAAAAUGAUGGUGAAUAAAUUGGUGUUCAUAUCAUUUACUUAAUGCCAUUUGCCAUCUUUUAAUGUUAUAGUAAUAGAAUAGGAAGGAAAUAAGUACAUAUACUUGUUUUCAGGACCUUUUCUUUGUAAAAUACUGAUUCAAAAUCUUCUACAGUUUACUUCAUUUUGACAUUUCAUCUUUCUUUUCAUCCAUUUCUUUUUACACUAUCUGCUCUAAUCAAGCAGUUUGGGUCAAUUCUAUCAGAAAAAUCUUUAUACUUUCUUGUGCUUUGACAGCUUAAGUUUCUCACCUAGAAUGUCUUUUGCUUCCCUUCUAAUCAUCUCUCAAGGCACAAUUCAACUUUUAUAUAUACCAUUAAUCUUUUUGUAAUCAUCCUAGCCUAAAACUACCUCUCCUCUUAAUUCUGUUUUCUUAAUAUAUGGUAUAAGAACCAUCCAUUUCAGAAUCAAUUGAGUAUUUUAUAGAUUCUGGGCUCCAUUCCAGACUUUCUAGCUUUUUGAGGGUAAGUCCCAGAAAUCUCUGUUUUUAAAGCUACUCUAUCUACAGUAAUCUUUGGAAGUACUAUUCUUAUAUUAUUCAGUUGUAUAGUACAUAUUGCAUUACUAUAUUUAGCUAUUCAUUGAUAAUUAUUGGGUCUUAUCUCCCCAUCUAUAUUAAACACAGAACCAUUUUCAUUAUUCCUACUCACACAUGAACACACACCCAACCACUUACUUUGUAAUUCUGAGUUGGAUAUUCAAUAGGCUUCAUGUAGCAAUAGCUCAAUAAUUUUAUAGAACUCAGUUGGGUGUGGUGGCACAUGCCUAUAAUUCCAGCAACUUGGGAGAGCAGGAAAAUUGGAAGUUGGAGGCCAUCCUCAUCAAUUUAGUGACACCAUGUCUCAGAAUAAAAUAAAUAAAUAGAAAUGUCUAGGGAUGUAGCUCAAUGGUAAAGUGCCCCUCAAUGGUAAAAUCUCCAGUUCAAAAAAAAAAACCAAAAAAUUUACAGAAAAUAAUAAUCAUGUUUUUAAUUUCAGUGCCCAGCAGGAUGCUGUUUUUGAAUUAAUUUCCAUGGGAUUUAAUGUAGCUCUGUGGUAUACCAAAUAUGCUUCAAGACUGGCGGGAAAAGAAAAGUAAGUUAAAAGAGAAAGGGUUUAUGUAUGUAAUAUGAUGUUUUUCAAAUAUUUUGAGUUUCAUUAUAAAAAGUUUAGGCUGUUGAUUAAAGAAUACCGUGUUGAGUGAGUGCACAUAUUUUAAGUUUUAGAAUUAGGGAGCCUAGUGUUAAGAGAAGAAAAAAUUUUAAAAUAAUCUUGUAAUGUGAAAGAUUUUCCUAAAUAAGACUCCAUACCAAGAAACUGUAAAAGGAAGGAUUGAAUAUUUGUCCGCUUAGAAGUCCUAUGAACAUAGCUUAAGAAGCACGUGACAGAAUUGGUUUAAAACAUUGCAAUGCAUAUGGUGAAUUAUUCAUUUCUUAAAAUGUAUACUCUUACAAAUCAACAAAGACCAUCAAAUUAGUUAAAAAUAAGCAAUGGACAUGAAUAGGCUAUUCAUAGAAAAAGAAAUGCAAAAGGUUUUAAGUAUAUGAAAAGAUCUUGAAGGUCUAAAAGAAUUACAAAAUAAAAUGAGGUGAAAUUUUUAUAAUAGCUAAAGUGUCUAGAGCAAUAGGAAAUUGGCAAAAUUGUUAUAAUUUAUCCAUACAUAGGAAUAGUAUGAUACCAUUGAAAAAUGAAGUUGAAUCUUGUGUACUGAUAUAAAAUUAUCUCUAAAGUGAUUAAAAUUAGGAGAGUAGCGAAUAUAGAUAGCUGUCAUUUCAUUCAUUUCAUAUGUAUAAGUGCUUGUUUAUAACAGAAGACUGUAGACGGUAAGACCAGAAGACUUCAUUUCAGAGUUCACCUCUAGGCAGGUCUUUUUUUUUUUUUUUUUGGAAGUAUCUUCUCUUUGGAUCUCGUUUGCAUUUGUUGCUUUGACACUUAAAAGUAUCAGGAUUAGAUUUUUUAAUUAAAUGGAAGAAAACUAGUGAUGAGAAAUGCAAACAAUUAAUUUGGCUUAAUGAUAAUGUGUUAGUUGUUGUUUCUAUUACCUGAAAUGCGAUUCAUCCUCUAACAAUUUAACACUGUCUUUAAGCAUAACAGAAGAUGAAGCAAAGGAAGUCCAUCGAAGCCUGAAAAUUGCUGCUGGGAUUUUCAAACAUUUAAAGGUAAAAAUAUAAAAUUUUAUGUAGAAUUUCUAAUGCUUUAAUUCUUAAAUAAUUUUUCCUUUCUGGCAAGAGAGGAAGAAUGUUUACACACUUCAUUAUGUAUAAAGAGCUGGUACUGUCCCUCCAGUAUCUGCAGGAUACAAACUGCUCCCUUUCCCUAGGGAUGCUAAAAUAUGUGGAUGCUCAAGUCCCUUUUAUAAAAUGGCACAGUGUUUGCAUAUAAUUUAUGUACUCCCUCUCGUAUUAAAUCAUCUUAAGGGCUGGGGAUGUGGCUCAAGCGGUAGCGUGCUCGCCUGGCAUGCACGGUGCGCUGGGUUCAAUCCUCAGCACCACAUAAAAAUAAAAAAAAUAAAAAGAUGUUGUGUCCACCAAAAACUAAAAAAUAAAUAUUAAAAAAAUUCUCUCUCAAAAAAAAAAUCAUCUUAAGUUUGCUUAUAGUAUCUAAUACAAUGUAAAUGCAAAUGUCGUGUCAAUAGUUAUUACACUGUGUUGUUUAGAGAAUAACGACAAGAAAAUAGUAUACGUGUUCAGCACACAUGCAGAGUCUUUUUUUCAAAUCUUUUCAGUCCAAGGUGUGUGUGUGACGAUGUGGUUGUGGAAACUGAAUAUGUAGGGCUAACUGCAUAUGUUCUGUUUUCCAUAUUUAAUAGUACCUUAUUGAUGAGUUCAGCCAAUUACUAUCGGUUUCUGCAUUUUACUUUUAAAAACAUCAGAGACUCUUACAAUUAGAAAUUUUCAGUUGUAAUACACUGUUUAUUUUUCUGUCUCUUCUGAAAAGUUAUAGACAGAAACAAAGCGUUUCUCAUUGUUCUCUGAAGCAGGUAUCAGCAGCAGUCACAAUUCCACAGAACUGAACUUCUGACGUAUUCUCAGUACAUCAGUGAAAAUGUUGGAGAGGCGAUUAUGGCACUCAUACAUUAAAUUGCCUGGAGCUAUAGUGGGCAUUAGGAGAAAGAAGAAUGUGUUUUCCAACUAGAAUUCCCCUUCUCUUCAUUCUAAUUAAACUACUCUUUAUUAAAGAACUUACGGAGGCUCAAUGUCAGGGUUUCUUCCCAUGAUAAAAUAAGAUGCGUCUACAGUGAUGAAAAAGCUAGGAUCCUGAAUUUAGGUGGAGAAUUGUAGUAUUUUCUUUGUAUCUUUAAUUAUUAAUAUAAAUGAGCAAUUCAGGCUAUCAUACAAAAAGAAAUUUUGUUUACUAUUUCAGUGAAACAUUUUCUAAGGUAAAAGUAUGGAUUACAUAUGGAGUAGUCUACUAUAACCAAAAUUUUGCUCUUGAGUUUCUUUUUCUUAUAAAAGCUAAAUUUUAGUGUACAGAGGCUGAUAUUAUCUGUAAGCUUACUGUUGCUCUUUUUUUACAAUUUUUGUUUGUACAUUAAAUUUCUGGCAAAUUUGUCAAUUGAAUGUCUCGUUAGUUUCAUUUUUUCAUCUCUUAACAACGGGUUAACAUGAAAUUUGGCAUCUUCUGUUUUCCUUCAGGAAAGUCAUAUCCCAAAACUUAUUACACCUGCAGAAAAGGGAAGGGAUCUAGAGGCACGGCUCAUAGAAGCUUAUAUUAUCCAGUGUCAGGCUGAAGCUCAAGAAGGUAUCCUAAAUAUUGUAAGAUUUUUCUUGUUUUUAUUUUGGAGAAAGUCUAUAUUUGCAUUUAAUUAAUCUUUUUUAAAUAAUCAGAAUUAGCUGCAAUUGAGUUUCAGUUUUUAGAAAUUUCAGGAGGAAUAAUUCUACCUUUGACAUUGAACUAGCAGGAACAGAUCUUACAACUUAAUGACUCUUUUUUUAAAGAGGAUUUUCAUUCCCUGCCAUUUCUGACAGUACAAAACUAGUUCUUUAACUCUUUGUUUCCCCAACUACCACGUUCAUUCUUUUUUCUCUUCCACUGUUUGGUUUAGUUUGAAGUCUUUAUCUUUUCAGUGGCAAGAAACAGUGGGACUUAUGUGAUAACAGGAAACAACUUUCUAAGCUUUUGGAUUUUUUCCAAAUGCCAGUGCUCUGAAAGUAUGUUUUAUAUCAAUCUACAUUGUAGUAAUUCUCUGCAGUUAACUAGUAGUUGGCUAUUGAUUUAUUUAAUGAAAUGGUAACAGAACCAACAAGCUGUGUUUUCUGUUUGUAUUUGCAUUUUCUAUUCUUUUCAUAGUAAAACUUAACAAUAAUUGUUUGAAAACCCAAAAAGAUUAUCAGACUUUCUUUUGCUAUUAAAACUGAACUUACUCUGAGUGGAAAAGAAUGUAAUUAUAGGUUCCUUUUAUUGUGUGUUGGUUUUAGUAACAAUUGCCCGAGCAAUUGAACUUAAACAUGCUCCUGGACUAAUUGCUGCACUGGCAUAUGAAACAGCCAAUUUUUAUCAAAAAGCUGGUAAGCUAAUUCUGUUGUUAUACUUUUAUUCUUUAUAUUUUCAGAUUUAUUUGCUUUUGAUUGAAUAGGAAACAGAACAAAAAGAUUCUAAGUUUUCCAUUAUUUGCAAAACUAGAAUCGUAUCUUCAUUACUUCAUUGAUGUUUAAAGAAUUAGAGUUGCUCACAGUUAAUAUGCUACAUAACUUUUAAUGGAAAGGACAGUGCUGUACUUUUUAACCAGUCAUCUAAUAACUAUAUGGUCUUUUGCUUUUAAGUUUUUGAUCUUUACUGUAAUCUUGUAAUUACUAUCCUUUCUUAGAUGAGAAACAAACCAAAGAGUUAACAUGAUCAACCCAAAACUUAACUGCUAACAGGUGGGAGGUUGAGACCAGAACACAUUUCCUCUAAUUAUCCUAUUAUUCUUUUCAUUUACUAAUUUAAGAGCUUUGCAUGUGUUUCUUUUUAUGAGAUGGUUACUAUUUUACUUGCUGAGUAGAGAUAAGUUGAAUAAAUUCACAGCUGAGGGGAGUAGACAAACAUGUAAUUAUAUUAUUGUAUCAUGAGUUUUAUGAUGAUGUUACAGCAGUGAGAUGAGAACCUCAACAGUCUGGGCAUGCUAGAGAAGGCUUUCUAGAGGAAGGUUACAUCUUAGUCUCAUUUUGAAAUAUACAUAGAACUUUUUGUUAUGUUUCUUAGAAAGCAUUAGUGUGUGAGAAUAGAACAUUUUAUGCUAUUUACAAUUUUAAGAAAGAACUUAGCACAUUUUGGCACUUUCAGACAGUUGUAGCUGAAACACAGAAUGAGUAAAACGAGAAGAGAUUGGGAAAAUACAUUUGUGUGAGAUAAAGAAGUGGUUUAUAAGCCUACCUAAAAAGUUUGGCCUUGAUUCUGUAGAUAUUUGGAAUCCAUUUUAUCUUAACCAGUGAGUCUGACUGGAUUUGAUUUGAAUUUAAGAAAGAUCUUUCUGGUUGCAGUAUGAGAUAGGCUUGCUGCAUGAAGUAGUAGGCUGACUUAGCACUUAAGAAGAAAUUCUGCCUUUGGAAAAGGAGAAAAUUUGGAAGCAACAUUAUUUAAAAUUCUUGGUCCAUAUCUAUUUUUAUCUAUGUUUUUGUCUUAAUCAUCAAAUCAAAGAAAUGCCAUGGUAUUUAACUAACCCUAUUAUGUAGCUUGAAAUAUAAUUAUGGGAAGCUAAGUCAUUUUUAAUAAAGAAGGUUUUUUAAAAUCUAUAAAUGCUUGAGUCUUAGACUUGAAUGGCAUUCUGCUUUUAGCAUGAAAAUACAUGAACUAAAAGUCUUCUAGUGAAUCAGGGUGAAAUUAUGUUUUACUUUUUAAAAUGUAACUUUAGAUCAUACUUUAUCCAGUUUGGAGCCUGCAUAUUCUGCAAAAUGGAGAAAAUAUCUUCACUUGAAAAUGUGUUUCUACACAGCUUAUGUAAGUAUUAAUAGCCCUAAAUAUGAUGUAAAUUACUCUCUUUCCAUCCCCUUAAGUGCCAGGUCUCUCAUCUUACCAAAGUCUUAGCAAUUUGCAAAUAACGAGCAGUUCUGAGUAAAUGUUCACUGACAUUGUAGCCAUUGUGAACUAACACAGGUGGAAAGAGAUGAUGUAGAAUUGUAGACCUAGAUUAUAGCAGUGGAGUUGCUGUUUGAUUCAAAACUCCCUAUAGCCUUCUAUGUGCUUAACAAAAAUUUUCUCAAGUACAGUUGACUAAGUCUAGUCUUAAGGCAUAUCAUAUACUAUACAUAUCACCUAGAUUGGUGAACCAUUACUACACACUAUUUAUCUGCUUAUUAUACCCACCAAACUUAAUUAUUAUUUUAUUGAUUUAGUGCUAUGUGAGAGAGUCAAAACCCUUUUUUCAAGUCUAAAUAAAUGUAUUUAUUUCUUAUAGUUUAAAAUCUGUUUUUACAUUUACUACUUGGGACCACAUGUAAUCCCUGCACAUUUAAGGAGUAAACUUUCAGGCUGAUACAUUUCUUUUAAAACUUCUUUAGUCCUUAACCUCAAAACAGUAGCUCUGCAUUAGCGCAGUAAUUUCCUCCUUUAUCUGCCAUGUCCUGAUUUAACAGAUUUUAACAAGUAAUUUUUGCUCUCAGGAAAUGGUUAGAAGGCUAAGUUCAGCUAAAGGCUUGAUAUAAUUCUAUCUUUUAUAUGAAUAGAGAUGGGAAAAGCUUACUCAAGUAAAGAGAUCUAGUAGAUUAUUUAUACUUAAAAGAAUGGAUAAAGGCAUUUAUCUGAAACAUGUAUAAGGAUAGGGAGAGAAUGAAUAAAAGUGUGUUUCUCUUUUUAUUAGGCUUAUUGUUAUCAUGGUCAGACUUUGUUGGCUAGUGAUAAAUGUGGUGAAGCAAUCAGGUCUCUGCAAGAAGCAGAAAAAUGUAAGUAUUCCUGUCAGAAUUUUAAUUCUUUUAUUAAAAUAGGUAUUUUACCAUAAAGGGGGAUAAAUAGGCAGUUAAGAGGUUUUGGCCAAGAUCAUGAAAGGGAAUGAGGACAGGUGAGGUAAUUGGAGGGAGAAAAAGUAUUUCAAACUUAGAAAAUGUAGAAAAUGCCCAUCUUUCCAUUAGAGUAUUAUUAUUGAUAUUUCUAUUACUCUAUGGAAGAGAAAGCAGCAGAAAUCUUAUCUUCUGAUUUAAAGCUUUUUAAGCAUAAAUAAGGAACGUUUUAUUAUUAUUAAACAGCUUUUAUUCCUUUCAUGUGCAGUAUAUGCAAAAGCAGAAGCAUUAUGUAAAGAAUAUGGAGAAACUAAAGGACCUGGACCAACAGUCAAACCAUCGGGACACUUGUUCUUUAGGAAACUUGGAAACCUUGUGAAGAAUACCCUAGAAAAAUGUCAACGAGAAAAUGGAUUUAUGUGAGACUAACUUAAUAUAUAAUAUUAACAUUAUAUCAGUUUAUAGUUAUAUUGGAAUAUUAAUUAGUAAUAUCAUGGUUUCUAUUAGUCUGUGUUCUCAAAGGGUUUAUGUUAAAGUGCACUUAAGUUUAGCAUUAUUUUUUUCUUCUUUAUAGUAGUGAUAAAGUUCAAGUGUGUAGAACCUUUUGUGGUACUGGAGAUUGAACCCAGGGGCUCUUAACCACUAAGCCACCUCCCAGCCCUUUUUAUUUGUGUUGAGAUGGAGUCUGUCUAGAUUGCUUAUAGCCUCACUAAGUUGCUGAGGUUAUCUUUGACCCUGCAAUCCUUCUUCCUCUGCUUCCUGAGCCACUGGGAUUAUAAGCAUGUGUGACUGUGCCCAGUUUAGAACCUUUUAAUUACUGAUAUGUAGCUUACUUCUUUAGGAUACUCCCAUGAUGUUCUUAUUUUCUCUGCAUGUUUUAUGCGUACCUUCCUACAAACAAACACACGCACAUACAUAUACAUAUACAACCAUACAUCUUCUCAACUCCCUUUGCAUGUUCACCUCACUCUGAUUUUGGCUACCUGUUAAGCAGGAUAAUUAAUUUUUUCCAAUCCUUCCUAUUCCUUUAAAAUAGUUUCCCUUAUUUGUGUUCAAACUGUGAACCACCACCUUCGUUGGUUUGUAGAAUCUAUCUUGUCCCUGUUUUUAAUCUCUGUACAUUUUCCUCUUUAUAUUCUGCAUAUGAUCGUUCCAAACUUUUCACUUUCUUAAACAUGUCUAGUUCACAUUUCAUCACUUCCUUUGGAAAUAGUUACUAAUCUGUGUUAAUGAUCCUCUUUGUAUUCUCAUGGCACUUUAUAUCAUAAUAGCUUCAGUUAACUCUGCAUUGUAUUUGACAAGGUUUCUUAACUUUCUCACCUACUCAUCUGUGAACUACAUGAGACAGGGAAAUCUCUGACCCCUCAUUACAUUGAUGAUUAUAUUAGGAGAUCAGUUACUGAAUAAAUGAAUGAAUCACUAUUUAAAUUGCUUUUUUGCAGUUACUUUCAAAAAAUUCCAACAGAAGCCCCACAGCUGGAACUCAAAGCAAAUUAUGGGCUGGUAGAACCCGUGCCUUUUGAAUUUCCUCCUACAAGUGCUCACUGGACACCAGAAACGCUGGCUGCAUUUGAUCUCACCAAGAGACCUAAGGAUGACAGUGUAUGAGAGAGAUUUUUCUUCUGCUCACGAAACUUUAAAAAUGCUAAUUCAGAGUUAGCAUUUUGAUGUUUUUCUCUAUUUAAAUAGAUACCUGUUUGUCUAUGUUAAAUCAGCUAAUUGUAGUGUAAUCUUUUGUAGAGCACUGUGAGAUAAAGCCUUUAGAUCCUCAGUGGCCUCUGAUUUUAAACAUACUGAAUGACAUCAACACAUUAUCUUGCCUUUUUACAACUUGUCAGUGCUUCUUCCUUAAAAGAGAGUGGGAGGAAAGAUUAUCCUUGUUUGUAUUACCACAACAAUACUCUUUUUUUCAUUUAGCAUAUUGCAGGGUAUCUAAUUCCAGCAUUCCAUGAAUCAUCCAGGAGUAAAAUACUUUUAUUCAUUUAUAUUUAAGUAAAUCUUGGUGUUCUAAAUCAAGCUCAAGAGGAAAUUUUGAGAUUUAACUGCCAGCAAACUAGAAAUCUAUGACAAAAAGAAUGGGAAUAAUUUUGCAAGAAUAGCUCCUCCCUUCAAACUGCAUUUUUUAUGUAAUUCCCUUCCCAUACUAAAAUCAUUAUUCUUUAAAAUAACGAUCUUUAUAUCCUGAUCAGACUCUUAAGAAAUAGCCUAUUACUGUCAUAAGUUCAUUCCAAACUUAGGGGUUCCAUAGGCAUAGAUUGAUUAUUCGUUUCUUCCUCGGAGAGUAUAGGUUAGGAAGACCAUUUGCUUGACUAUAGGCAAAAGUAACUGUUUCUUAAAAUGAGUUGAUUUGUAGCUUCUGGGACAGCUUGUUAUUCUCAAUGUUACUUCAUUCAGUAUUGUACCUUUUGAAAGUCUAAAGUAGAAAAGAUCUCCUGUUUGUUUUCUGAGUUUAUGUAAGUGCUUAAUAUUUUAUUUUUCCUUCUUUAGGCCAAACCUAAGCCAGAUGAAGAAGUAAAACCUGUGAAAGAACCAGAUAUCAAACCUCAAAAGGACACGGGGUGCUACAUCUCCUAAAACACAAUAUGUGCUUAGAAUUCUACAAGUAGAAGAGAAAACUGAGAACUCUACAAGUAGAAGAGAAAACUGUAGAACUUUGGUACACAUUUCUUGAAAUGAUUUUUCUGAAGCUUAUAGCAUAAUUAUUACAUUCAGAGGGAAUCUGCCUUUAGUUCGUUUGUUCUUGAUUUUUAAGGUGGUAGACAUGUUUUUAAUCAGGACAACAUUUGAAAGGUUUUAUUGUGCCUCUGACAGGUGUAUUUGAGGGUUAGAUCUUUUUUGAAUUCUGGUUAAUAAGUUUCAGCUUAAUGUAUUAUAGGCCUGAAUUGUUUUUCAGGUAUGUUUUUCUAUCUUCACAAAAAUGUUUAUUUUUUUUCUCUUAUUUGAUACCAGAAGAAUGGCAAGAAUGAAUUUUGAGCAGAGAUGGUCUUUUUCCCCUCACCAUUGUGUUAAUUAUAGCACAGACUUGUUAUGUUCUGAGUCAUUUAUCUUUUCUGGUGGGGGAAAAAAGCUCUUAAUAGUUGAAGAUCAGAAAAUGUUCCUGCGAAAUCCCUCAAAUAUACUGGAAUCUAUAAUUUACUCAAAAAUUAGUGUUUAUAAAUAAGUUGAGACCUCUAAGAACUUUUUCUUAUUCUUGUAUCUGCUUCAUUCAGUCUCAAAAACCCUACAAUGUUUUUUUUUUUACAAAUACCUUUUCUAAUGGGUUUUUUACUUAGAGGAUAGAACUUUGUAAGUGUUUAAUGUUUAUAUGUAAGGGAAGACAGUAAGAAUGAAGAAUGUUUUUUGAAGAAGUAAUAUUGCAUGAUAAUAAAAAAAAAACUAAACGUGAAUGAGAUAGGUUGUCCUGUAUUACACCGGUAACUACUACUUUGUUAGAGAAGUUUUAGUAAAAUAUCUUUGUUAGCUGAUUUUAGUGUACAUUGUUUUUAUAUGGUUUUCUAAUAUAUAUAUCUAUAUACAUAUCUCCUAUCAGAAUUGCAUUGUUUUAGGUCAAAGGCCAUAGCAAAAAUUUAGAGAACAAACAGAUACAAUAUAAUCUUAUAAAAUGGAUUUAAUAAGGCUGGGGAUAUUGCUAGAGCGCUGGGUCCAGUUCCCACUGUUGAGGGGGGAAAAAGAUUAUAAUCAUUUGAAACAGUUUAGUAUAUACACAGAAUUGAGAAAUAAUGCAUAAUGCUUAAACAAAAUUCACACAUCUGUAGAUUUACCUUGUGUUGAUUAUUCUCCUAGAGUGUUAGAUAAUUUGCUAUUAUAAAUGACACAUUGGUUUUUACUAGAAAAAUAAAAGUAGUGUAUUUUGAGAGCUUACUAUGUGCCAGUCACUGUGCUGAGCACAUAUAUAGAUACACCAUAACGCACCUUUAAUAAAUAUGUAAAAUCUGCAUAAAGUGUCAAAAUAGGAAUAUAUGCAUUUCAUUUUGAAGAAUGAACAAAUUAUGUCUAGCUGAACCAAGAUUGUGUUCAAAUAAAUAAUUGCUUAAAUCAGAUAUCAUAGCUUUCACCGCUUUUAAAAAGCUGCAUAGAAAUCAAGUUUUUUUUUUUUUUAAUAUGUGGAAAUGCUAACUACUAUUUUCAGUAUAUAAUAUUUAAUAUUUGAAGCUACAGUUUCCAGAAUAUUUGGAGCAAUAAAUGAAUAGUUUUAUUUUGCUGUUUAUGGGAAAUAUUAAAUUUCACUGUAAACAGUCACUACAAAUUGACUUGUUUCUGUAUGUUAUCUGCUGACAAUUUUAAACAGUACUUAAGGACCUAUUUAUCUUAGGUACUAGUGCUUAUUUAACCUAGUUACUAAAUUUUCACAUUGAUAUUUUUGUGGAUUAUACUACCUUGUAUGAAAUGGAAAUAUGCAGUAUGCUCAGUGCUUCUGUAAAAUGCAGUUAAUACUGGUAUUUAAAUAAAUAAUUGUCAAUUUUGACAUGAUCAAAUAGUAUUUUGUUGACUCAGCAAAGGUAACACUUUAUCCUUUUAAUACCCCAUUAUAUAUAAGAUUUUUUGAAAAUGGUGUUGGAAAUGAUCAAAUGUAAAGAAGUUGCAUGAAGGCUAGAGGGAGAUGUAACUAUUUGUAUUAACCGUUGCAUAAAUUUCAUACCAGGCUAUGACAGCUUACAUAUUGCUUCUGCCAAGUAUUGUUUGUAUAAUGAAUUAUCUUUUUAUUUAUGAAAAUAAAAGCAAUUUUACCUACAUUUUCAUUGGACUUUUUGCUUUUUUUUUUUUAAUUUUUUUUUUAGUUGUUGAUAGACCUUUUCUUACUCAUUUAUUUAUAUGUGGUGCUGAGAAUUGAUCGAAGUGCCUUACACAUGCAAGGCAGGUGCUCUACCACUGAGCCACAACCCCAGCCCAGAAUUUUUGCUUUUUGAUGAAUAUUUUUAUACUUCCUAAGCCAGUAGCAUUAUGCGAAAUGUUAAUAUUCACAUUAAUGAUUAAAAGGACAAAUACAGAGCUGGGGUACAGCUGAGUGGUAGAGCGCUUGAUUAGCAUGCACGAGGCUCUGGGUUCAACCCCCAGAAUUGCAGAAAAUUUUUAAAAAAAUGACAGAUUCAUUUGUUUUUUGCUUUGUGUGCUUACUAAUAAACCUUAAUCACUCCUUGACCUGUUUGGUUUAUACUUAUGUUUAUUGGUACCUAUCACCUCUUAAUCUCAAAGUAGGAUUUUGAUGGACCUGUUUAUUUUUGAUGCAAAAAUAUAAAGAAUGAUGCAGCAUUUGUGUACUGUGGUAAGCUAAAUUGGGGAGCUUAUCAUUGUUGUGCCAUAAUCUGUUGAAAAGCUUUUGUACUUUGCACACUUGAGGUGGCAUUUAAAUAAAACCACUUGGAAAUAUUUCCUUACUUUCCAGAGUUUAAUUCUAGUGCUUCAGAAAAU
rnacentral:lncRNA from 1 species